CCGACUUCGUCGUAGACCUCGCCGGUUGUGCACACUCCGGCCUCCUCCUGUCCAUGGCCAACCUGCCCGCCAUGGUGUCGCGCGUCCCUGCGCCCUACUUGUUCCUGGCCCUCGCGCUGGCUCGCCUCAUCGCCGAAUUCCAGAACCAGCGUUGUAGCUCAGCUCGCCCAAAUCCUAGCCAUGAUUCCCAUCACGCCCUGUGUCGGCAUGCUGGCCCGAUGCUGUCGUCCUUCUUCAUCCUCAUCUUCGCCUCGACCUCGCGUGGUGCUCGGCCGUGCACAGCUGCUUGUCAUCGACGUCCCUACGAGUUGUUGGUCGUCGCUCAUGUUCACCUCCAUAUGAUGGGUGGUGUGGGUGGUAACGUCCUGGUGCGCUAUUCAUUUGGGGUCGAGGAUGUGCUUGAACCAGAGAUAUUCAAAGUGGAUGCUGGACGUUCUUGCACCGUGGACACGUUGAAGAUCCAUAGCAUAUUGCGGUGCUCCAUUCCAGGAGAGAAAUUCCUAGGAACUGGGUAAUGAAGCAAGAUUCGUGCAACGUUUUCCAAGUG
rnacentral:misc_RNA from 1 species